rnacentral:tRNA from 1 species
CCCAAAUAGCUCAGUUGGGAGAGCGUUAGACUGAAGAUCUAAAGGUCCAUGGUUUAUUUACAGCAGUAUGGUAGA